UUGAAAGGGAAACGAUUGAAGUCAGUCGUACCGACGAGAAAUCAACUUAUCGUGUGCGAACUAGUGGGCGUGCGUGAGUUUCGGCCUCGCUGUUUGCAUGUUUGUGCGUUUUGGGUGUACUUUUUCGUAUGGUAGGCCAACAUCAGUUUCGAUUACUAUAAAAUGACCGGCGGAAUGUAGCUUCGAUUUCGGUUGAAGUGUUAUAGCCUCUGGUAGAUGUGGUGAUUGGGACUGAGGAUUGCAACGAAUAUCCUUUGGGCUAUCCGUCUGAUCUCUGAAAGUUGCUCAGGUGCCGAAAGCGUGCUUACGGUUAUCUAAGUUGACGGUCAAUAGGUUAGAACGUGAUUACAUUCGUUAAGGAUGUUGACGUA
rnacentral:rRNA from 1 species